AUAAAUUUGUGAUUAAUGUGCAGUGUGUGGUGCAAGGCAUGCGAUGCGGCCAAAAAAUGAUGAAAAAUAAUAUGAAAUUAGCGCCAAAAAUGCAUUUGAAAAAUUUGCCUUUCUUUGUAAUAUGUUUAAGGAUUAUUGGCUCAUUUGUGUAUAUAUAUAUUCGCAAAUAAAUGCAACCACAAAAAUAUUAGUUACAAAUAAAAGCUAAUAACCGAAUGAAUCUUAAGUGAAAAUAAAUUGAAAAAUCAUUCAUGGAAGACAACAAAACGGUACAACAAUAACAUAACAUCAGCGGCAGCGCAAAAGAAAGGAUUAAACACAUUAAAAGCACCGGACAAAAAACUAGUUAUAGUAAAACGGCAAAGGCACCAGCCAGCAGGAGCAUCGGGAGCAGCGGCCAUAUAAUUAAUUUGGAUAAACACACAAAAACAAAAGCAAGAACCAGAAAGUGUAUAAAAUAUUGAACGUUUGCUGCUAGCUCGAACAGGAAAUAAAGACGACCCACCACAACUCUGUCCGCGAGGAACCGCAGGAGUAGCACUUGGAUUAGGAAUAGGAGUAGGAAUAGAAACAAUAAUCGUCGUCAGGCCGUAAAAUUUGAAUAGCAAUAAAGCCAGCAAGAAUAGCAGCAAGGGAGCAGCAGCAAAAGGAUAAGAAACGUUGCGCGCUCCACAUCGUCGUCCAAAUGCCAGCUGGACCAGCCUUAUUACGCCCGGCCCAAUAGAGCCGCCGGAACAGGAGCGCACGCAGUAUCUGGAUAAUCUGUUGAGAAACAUUGCUUAGCAUGAAGCAACGGAGUACACAACAGCAUUAUCCAUCAAUCAGCGGAUUAUUCUUAUUAUUAUCAAGGAGAAGCGCAGAAACAAUCACAUCAGCAGGAGAGGCACUGGAAUCCACCGAAGCAGAAGCAAUAGCAACGACUGAAGGAGUCGGUGCCGGACUUGGAGUCGGACUAGCCGAAGGCGGAACUGGUGGCCUUGAGAAAUUCGCCAGAAGGAAGCAGAGGACUUGCCGAAAGUUAGCCACAUAAUAGGACUAGUCCACGAGCGGGCGAUCGCCGCACCAGAGAGGAGACGGACGGAGACGGCCCCGGGCGUGUGUUUUUGUCGCGUGUGUGGUGUGUGUGUGUGUCGGCCGUCUCAGUCAAGCAUAAUCAGCAUCAGCAACAGCAACA
rnacentral:sRNA from 1 species